AUUGGGAUAAGACCUCAAAGGGGAAUGUGUGAGUGAGCCAGGAAAUGAGUCGAACCAGGUCCCCCCAGAACAUUUGAUUGUAGUCCUGGGCAUCCAUCCAAAUCCCAGGGGCCUUUGCCCCAGAAGAGAUCAUGGCUUACUGGUGACGCUGAAUAGAGGUCAUGAGCACAGUGUGACGAAGAAGCCAGGCCAGGAGGAAACCCUGCAUUCAUGAAGUCACCCACAGUUCCAUCUACUCCAGCCAACACCAGGAUGCUUCACACCCAUGGACGUGAAGAGCUGCAGUCCUGUCACCCAAGGAACUGAACUGAGUAGCCAAUGGCUCCAUGCCACUGACAAUUUAUGGCGGAGGCAAGGAUUCUACUUGGACAUAGCAGGAGCAAUACUAAGCCAGUGCCACCUCCCAGUGAGGCCUCCCAUGGGCUCAGUCAAAGCACAGUAUCAUGGAGCCAAGUGGAGGACAGGCAGAGUCAGCCUGUCCUAACCAGGAACAAUCACCGAGCUUGCCUCUGGGAAAUCUGAACCAAGACAUCCAGGAACCUGGACAUGGAUUGAACUAUCUCUUCAUUGUCAGUUACCACUUGCUAAGCACAUCACCCCCAGAUCUGUGUGAGGGGGUCAGGUGUGCUGGGGUGGAGAAGACAACACAGAGCAGCCUGGGAUGGGAAGUCAGUCUCCUGGUGGUGGGAGUGGUAGAUGCUUGUGGUUGUGCUGUCUCCUUUGAGUAAAAACUCCAGCUGCCAA
rnacentral:lncRNA from 1 species